rnacentral:lncRNA from 1 species
AUGUCCAAACCUUGCAUGAUGGGUGCUGGCACAGCUGACCAGCCCUGGCACAAACACCAAGCCAUUGCACAUGGCCUGGCCCUGGCAUGUCCAGCCCUUGCACACUCAGCCCUUGCACACCCAGACCUCACACCCCCAGACCUUGCACAACUGCCCAGCCCUUGCACAAGCAGUUUUUUUGCACACCCAGCUCUCACACACCUGCCCUGCCACAUCACACACCUAACCCUCGCACAGAUGUCCAGCCCUUGCACACCUGUCCAGCCCCCAUACAUCCAAUUCUUGCACAGCCAGCUCUUGCCUGCCUGCCUGUGUCCCAGCUCUGGGACACCCGUCCUUGUCCAUGUCCCUGUCACAUCCCUGUCCCGUCCCCAUCCCCAUUCUGUGCCCGUCUCCUCCCUGUCCCUUUCCUGUCACCAGCCCUGUCUCAUCCAUGUCCCCAUCCCUGCCCUGUCCCCAUUCCUGUCCCCGUCCUGUCUCCAUCCCAUCCCUGUCACUGUCCCUGUCCUGUCCUGGUCCCUGUUCCCACCCCCAUCCCUGUCCUCAUUCCCAUUCCAUCCCCGUCCCCGUCCCAUCCCCAACUUGUCCCCAUCCUGUUCCCAUCCCGUCCCGGUCCCAUCCCUGUCCCUGUCCCGUCCCCAUCCCUGUCCUGUCCAUAUCCCCGUCCCAUCCCUGUCCCCAUUCCGACCCCAUCCCCAUCCCUUUACCUGUCCCCAUCCUGUAUCAUCCCAUCCCUGUCCACGUCCCCAUCCCCAUCCUCAUUCCGCCCCUGUCCCUGUCCCCAUCCCCAUCCCCAUCCCUGUCCUGUCCUUAUCCCCGUCCCAUCCCCGUCCUGUCCCUGUCCCCGUCCUGUCCCUGUCCCCGUCCUGUCCCUGUCCCCAACCCUGUCCCCAUCCCUAUCCCAUCUCUGUCCCUGUCCCUGCCCCUGUGCCCAUCCCAUCCCUGUCCUUGUCCCUGUCCCUGUCCGGUCCCCAUCGUUGUGCCCAUCCCAUCCCUGUCCCCGUCCCGUCCUUGUCCCCCUCCCGUCCCUAUCCCAUCGCAUCCCUGUCCCUGUCUCUGUCCUGUCCCUGUCCUGUCCCCAUCCCGUCUCUGUCCCCAUCUCCAUCCCCGUCCCGUCCCCGUCCCCAUCCUUUCCCUGUCCUGUCCCCAUUCCUGUCCCUAUCCCACCCCUGUCCCUCUCCCUGUCCCUGUCCCAUCGCAUCCCUGUCCCUGUCCUGUCCUCCCCCGUCCCUGUCCUGUCCUCCCCCAACCCUGUCCCUGUCCCCGUCCCCGUCCCCGUCCCCGUCCCAUCCCGUCCCGUCCCUCCCCGUCCUUCCCCUCUCCGCCCGCCUCCCGGAGGAGGGGGAGGACGGACCUCAGGGCGUGCCCACCCCUCCCCUU